rnacentral:rRNA from 1 species
CGGGGUGCAGCAGCGCGAAAACUUUACAAUGCGGGAAACCGUGAUAAGGGAACUCCGAGUGCCCGUUAAAUCGGGCUGUCCAUCAGUUUAAAAAACUGGUGAAGAAAGGGCCGGGCAAGACCGGUGCCAGCCGCCGCGGUAAUACCGGCGGCUCGAGUGGUGGCCACUAUUACUGGGCUUAAAGCGUUCGUAGCUGGUUUGUUAAGUCUCUGGGGAAAUCUUCCGGCUUAACCGGAAGGCGUCUCAGGGAUACUGGCAAACUAGGGACCGGAAGAGGUGAGGGGUACUUCAGGGGUAGGAGUGAAAUCCUGUAAUCCUUGAGGGACCACCUGUGGCGAAGGCGCCUCACCAGGACGGCUCCGACAGUGAGGGACGAAAGCUGGGGGAGCAAACCGGAUUAGAUACCCGGGUAGUCCCAGCCGUAAACGAUGUGCGUUAGGUGUAUCGGUGACCACGAGUCACCGAGGUGCCGAAGAGAAAUCGUGAAACGUACCGCCUGGGAAGUACGGUCGCAAGGCUGAAACUUAAAGGAAUUGGCGGGGGAGCACAAG